rnacentral:rRNA from 1 species
UACAUGGGGUGCAAACGUUGCUCGGAAUUAUUGGGCGUAAAGCGCGCGUAGGCGGUCUCUUAAGUCGGAUGUGAAAGCCCUUGGCUCAACCGAGGAAGUGCACCCGAAACUGAGAGGCUUGAGUACGAAAGAGGGUCGCGGAAUUCCCGGUGUAGAGGUGAAAUUCGUAGAUAUCGGGAGGAACACCAGUGGCGAAGGCGGCUAAUCUGGACGGUAACUGACGCUGAGACGCGAAAGCGUGGGGAGCAACAGG